ACUUUCUGGUCUGUAGCUGACGCUGAGGCGCGGAGGCGUGGGGAGCAGACAAGAUUAUAUACCCUGGUACUCCACGCCGUAAACGAUGAGUGCUAAGUGUUACAGGGCUUUCCGCCCUUUAGUGCUGAAGUUAACGCAUUCCGCACUCCGCCUGGGGAGCACGGCCGCAAGGCUGACACUCAAAGGAAUUCCCGGGGGCCCGCACAAGCGGUGGAUCAUGUGGUUUAAUUCGAAGCAACGCGAAGAACCUUAC
rnacentral:rRNA from 1 species